rnacentral:rRNA from 1 species
UGAGGAAUAUUGGUCAAUGGGCGCGAGCCUGAACCAGCCAAGUCGCGUGAGGGAUGACGGCCCUACGGGUUGUAAACCUCUUUUGUCGGGGAGCAAAUUCCGUUACGUGUAACGGAGUCGAGAGUACCCGAAGAAAAAGCAUCGGCUAACUCCGUGCCAGCAGCCGCGGUAAUACGGAGGAUGCGAGCGUUAUCCGGAUUUAUUGGGUUUAAAGGGUGCGUAGGCGGGCUGUCAAGUCAGCGGUAAAAUACGGGGGCUCAACCUCCGCCCGCCGUUGAAACUGACGGUCUUGAGUGGGCGAGAAGUAUGCGGAAUGCGUGGUGUAGCGGUGAAAUACAUAGAUAUCACGCAGAACUCCGAUUGCGAAGGCAGCAUACCGGCGCCCAACUGACGCUGAAGCACGAAAGCGUGGGUAUCGAACAGGAUUAGAUACC